rnacentral:lncRNA from 1 species
AUUUAUACAUUAUUUAGCACUUAUUACACCCCCAAACCUACACUUUGCUAGUCCUCGAGCAAAAUAAAACUAACUCACUUUCGCAGGAAUCGCGAUUGCAUUUACCGUAUGCAAUAAGGCUUUAAACCCCUAAGUGGCCCUAGUGGACGAGUUUUGUCUCGUGAGGGUUUCCGGCUCAGAUACCCACAAACUGUUGUCUCUACCCAAAGAGUUUAUUGUUUUAUAAAAUCUAACUUCAAAUGCAUAAGUGCCAAGAAUUUCAAAAGCACACAAAGUUUUAAUUACUAAGUCAGCCCAAAUCUUAGGUCAGUAUGCAACUUAAGUUGAAGUCAUUAAGUUUCCGUUAGAGAAUUGUAAGGCUAAUUUAUACUUGGGUGCUCGGUGAUAUCUUGACCAUACACAAGCUAAGGCUUUAGAUUCUCCAAAAUACUGCUAAAACUAGUAGUUUCCAAGAAUUGGUCAGAUAAGACCUAAUCACUGAUUUAAAAUCAUCCUAUCUUGCAGGAUUUCGAGAGUUGUGGAUGUUUACUUUAAUACCUCAUGGGCUUUAUCUGUAAUAUUCCAGUUUACUCGAAUGUUUAUAACGACGGCUUUCACACUAUCGUCUUUUUCAAGGUCAAUAUUAUUAUUAUUUUUAUAUUUUUUUAUUUUAUAUUUUUUUUAUUUUGUAUUUAUAAAUAAAUUACACACUUUUACUCUUGUAAUGAUUCCUCCGUGUAGCGAGCAUUCAGUCAACACUCCCACACCAGAUGGCAUAAGGGGUUGGGCAUUNNNNNNNNNNNNNNNNNNNNNNNNNNNNNNNNNNNNNNNNNNNNNACUGACCUUUGACAGUAGGUAGCCCUUUUCGAUGUACCUGACUAAAUUCACUCCCUUUUUUUUUGUCUUUUUUUCUCUUAGAAGUGCAGGCCAUGUGUGUUGUGAAAUUCCAAAGUAAAAAUUAUCUUACAACUCACUAAAAGAACUUUUAAUGAAAAGAACUGAAAUU